UACGGAGGGUGCAAGCGUUAUCCGGAUUCACUGGGUUUAAAGGGUGCGUAGGUGGGCAAGUAAGUCAGUGGUGAAAUCUCCGGGCUUAACCCGGAAACUGCCAUUGAUACUAUUUGUCUUGAAUACUGUGGAGGUCAGCGGAAUAUGUCAUGUAGCGGUGAAAUGCUUAGAUAUGACAUAGAACACCAAUUGCGAAGGCAGCUGGCUACACAAUUAUUGACACUGAGGCACAGAA
rnacentral:rRNA from 1 species